UACGUAGGUGGCAAGCGUUGUCCGGAUUUACUGGGCGUAAAGAGCGCGCAGGCGGUCGUUCAAGUCGCGUGUGAAAGCCCCCGGCUCAACUGGGGAGGGUCACGCGAUACUGAUCGACUCGAAGGCAGGAGAGGGUAGUGGAAUUCCCGGUGUAGUGGUGAAAUGCGCAGAUAUCAGGAGGAACACCGAUGGCGAAGGCAGGUCUCUGGGCCGAUACUGACGCUGAGGAGCGAAAGCGUGGGGAGCGAACAGG
rnacentral:rRNA from 1 species